CGUUUUCACUUUAGUACCCUAUGAUUUAAAGUGUAUUAAGUUAGUACCCUAUGGUUUCGCACUUUUUCAAUUUAGUACCUUAUGGUUUAAAGUGUAUCAAGUUAGUACUCUGUGAUUUUAUUUUUGUAUCAAGUUAGGCUUAGUUUGGUAUUGAGGCGGAUCUAACGCUAUUAGAUAGAAUGGAGUUGAGAAAAAGCAUAUAGGGAUAUGCUUCUGCUUUUUUCGAUAGGACCGCAGAAAAUAUAUCGUAACCGACUAACUGCAAUAUGCGAAACGCAAUAUUACGUACGGAAACAAACAUGAUUUUUUUUUUAUCGUCGUUUCACACCGCCCGGAACACAAUCUCCCCGCAAUCCCAAACGAAGCCUUAGUACCAUGUGGUUUCAUUUUUCUCUUUUUAUUAUCCAUUCGGGAUAUAUUUUUCGUUAAAUUAACUAAAGGGUACUAAAAUGAAUAUCCGAUAAACCUAGAUAAGGUAUCUGAAGUUUUUUGUAUAUAAUUUAACGAAAUAUUAAACCACAGGGUACUAAAGUGAGAAAGUGCAAAACCACAAACUUUAAACCACAGGAUACUAAAAUGAGAAAGUGCGAAAACCACACGAUACUAAUUUGGUACAUUUUAAAUUAUAGGAUACUAAAAUAAGAAAGUGCGAAAUCAGGGUAUUUAAAGUUUUCCCUGUAUUUUUUUGAACUACAGUGGGU
rnacentral:lncRNA from 1 species